AGCGAACGCUGGCGGCAGGCCUAAUACAUGCAAGUCGAGCGCACCUUCGGGUGAGCGGCGGACGGGUGAGUAACGCGUGGGAAUGUGCCCUUUGGUACGGAACAACUGAGGGAAACUUCAGCUAAUACCGUAUGUGCCCUUCGGGGGAAAGAUUUAUCGCCAUUGGAGCAGCCCGCGUUGGAUUAGGUAGUUGGUAGGGUAAAGGCCUACCAAGCCUACGAUCCAUAGCUGGUCUGAGAGGAUGAUCAGCCACACUGGGACUGAGACACGGCCCAGACUCCUACGGGAGGCAGCAGUAGGGAAUCUUGCGCAAUGGGCGAAAGCCUGACGCAGCCAUGCCGCGUGAAUGAUGAAGGUCUUAGGAUUGUAAAAUUCUUUCACCGGGGAAGAUAAUGACGGUACCCGGAGAAGAAGCCCCGGCUAACUUCGUG
rnacentral:rRNA from 1 species